UUACGGCCACAUCAUGCUGAAACACCGGUUCCCGUACGAUCACUGACGUUAAGCAACGUCGAACGCGGUCAGUAACUAGAUGGGCGACAGUUUGGGACUAUCAGGUGCU
rnacentral:rRNA from 1 species